AGCGAACGCUGGCGGAAUGCUUAACACAUGCAAGUCGCACGGGGGCUUCGGCCUUAGUGGCGGACGGGUGAGUAACGCGUAGGAACGUGUCCUGGGAUGGGGGAAAACGCUGGGAAACUGGCGCUAAUACCGCAUGUCUGCUGAGGCAGAAAGCCUUCGGGUGUCUUGGGAGCGGCCUGCUUCCGGUUAGCUAGUGGGUGGGGGAAGAGCUUACCAAGGCGACGAGCGGUAGCUGGUCUGAGAGGACGAUCAGCCACACUGGGACUGAGACACGGCCCAGACUCCUACGGGAGGCAGCAGUGGGGAAGAUUGGACAAUGGGCGGAAGCCUGAUCCAGCAAUUCCGCGUGGGUGAAGAAGGUCUUCGGAUUGAAAAGCCCUUUCGGCGGGGACGAUGAUGACGGUACCCGCAGAAGAAGCCCCGGCUAACUUCGUGCCAGCCGCCGCCGUAAAAC
rnacentral:rRNA from 1 species